rnacentral:rRNA from 1 species
UACGAAGGGUGCUAGCGUUGUUCGGAAUUACUGGGCGUAAAGCGCGCGUAGGCGGUUUAACAAGUCAGAGGUGAAAGCCCUGGGCUCAACCCAGGAAUUGCCUUUGAAACUGUUAGACUUGAGUGUCGGAGGGGAUAGCGGAAUUGCUAAUGUAGAGGUGAAAUUCGUAGAUAUUAGCAGGAACACCGGUGGCGAAGGCGGCUAUCUGGACGACAACUGACGCUGAGGCGCGAAAGCGUGGGGAUCAAACAGG